AUACUUACCUGGCAGGGGAGAUACCAUCUUCGUGAUCACGGAGAUGGUUUUCCCGGGGCGAGUCUCAGCCAUUGUACUGUGGAUGUGCUGACCCUGUGAUUCCCCCAAAUGUGGGAAACUCGGCUGCAUAAUUUGUGGCAGUGGAGGACUGCGUUCACAUUCUUCCC
ensembl:snRNA U1 U1 spliceosomal RNA